AUUGGCGUAAAGCCUUCUGAAUAUGGUCUUUUGCAACUAUUUCCAGUUUGUUUGUUUUCCCCUUGUAACAAACAGAAAACAGAGCAAACAAUUUCUGAGAGCUCUAAAAGUAGCAAGGCCAUCUGUUGUCUACAGAAACUACCUUAGAGCAUCAAUUACUCACAACUUGGUCACGCUCAGGAAAAGAGGAAGAGAAGUGGACUCAAUUUAUGGGAAGUUUCUAUGUGCAACUACCAUGAACAGGAAAUGAAUGGAAGAAUAGAAUCUCUAUCUGCAAAAAUGUAUCUUGGUUUACCUUCUAGAUCACAGUGACUGUAGCUCCAUAUAGAAAUGAUUUCCCCAAUACAUCUGAAAAGGAAACUUGAGAAGGAAAAGGAGUAGGUACAUGAUUUUUGGGCCAAAUGUCACAGAAUACUGUUGAUAAGAGACU
ensembl:lncRNA